rnacentral:rRNA from 1 species
UAAUGGGUCAGCGACUUAUAUUCUGUAGCAAGGUUAACCGAAUAGGGGAGCCGAAGGGAAACCGAGUCUUAACUGGGCGUUAAGUUGCAGGGUAUAGACCCGAAACCCGGUGAUCUAGCCAUGGGCAGGUUGAAGGUUGGGUAACACUAACUGGAGGACCGAACCGACUAUGUUGAAAAAUUAGCGGAUGACUUGUGGCUGGGGGUGAAAGGCCAAUCAAACCGGGAGAUAGCUGGUUCUCCCCGAAAGCUAUUUAGGUAGCGCCUCGUGAAUUCAUCUCCGGGGGUAGAGCACUGUUUCGGCAAGGGGGUCAUCCCGACUUACCAACCCGAUGCAAACUGCGAAUACCGGAGAAUGUUAUCACGGGAGACACACGGCGGGUGCUAACGUCCGUCGUGAAGAGGGAAACAACCCAGACCGCCAGCUAAGGUCCCAAAGUCAUGGUUAAGUGGGAAACGAUGUGGGAAGGCCCAGACAGCCAGGAUGUUGGCUUAGAAGCAGCCAUCAUUUAAAGAAAGCGUAAUAGCUCACUGGUCGAGUCGGCCUGCGCGGAAGAUGUAACGGGGCUAAACCAUGCACCGAAGCUGCGGCAGCGACACUGUGUGUUGUUGGGUAGGGGAGCGUUCUGUAAGCCUGUGAAGGUGUACUGUGAGGUAUGCUGGAGGUAUCAGAAGUGCGAAUGCUGACAUAAGUAACGAUAAAGCGGGUGAAAAGCCCGCUCGCCGGAAGACCAAGGGUUCCUGUCCAACGUUAAUCGGGGCAGGGUGAGUCGACCCCUAAGGCGAGGCCGAAAGGCGUAGUCGAUGGGAAACAGGUUAAUAUUCCUGUACUUGGUGUUACUGCGAAGGGGGGACGGAGAAGGCUAUGUUGGCCGGGCGACGGUUGUCCCGGUUUAAGCGUGUAGGCUGGUUUUCCAGGCAAAUCCGGAAAAUCAAGGCUGAGGCGUGAUGACGAGGCACUACGGUGCUGAAGCAACAAAUGCCCUGCUUCCAGGAAAAGCCUCUAAGCAUCAGGUAACAUCAAAUCGUACCCCAAACCGACACAGGUGGUCAGGUAGAGAAUACCAAGGCGCUUGAGAGAACUCGGGUGAAGGAACUAGGCAAAAUGGUGCCGUAACUUCGGGAGAAGGCACGCUGAUAUGUAGGUGAAGUCCCUCGCGGAUGGAGCUGAAAUCAGUCGAAGAUACCAGCUGGCUGCAACUGUUUAUUAAAAACACAGCACUGUGCAAACACGAAAGUGGACGUAUACGGUGUGACGCCUGCCCGGUGCCGGAAGGUUAAUUGAUGGGGUCAGCGCAAGCGAAGCUCUUGAUCGAAGCCCCGGUAAACGGCGGCCGUAACUAUAACGGUCCUAAGGUAGCGAAAUUCCUUGUCGGGUAAGUUCCGACCUGCACGAAUGGCGUAAUGAUGGCCAGGCUGUCUCCACCCGAGACUCAGUGAAAUUGAACUCGCUGUGAAGAUGCAGUGUACCCGCGGCAAGACGGAAAGACCCCGUGAACCUUUACUAUAGCUUGACACUGAACAUUGAGCCUUGAUGUGUAGGAUAGGUGGGAGGCUUUGAAGUGUGGACGCCAGUCUGCAUGGAGCCGACCUUGAAAUACCACCCUUUAAUGUUUGAUGUUCUAACGUGGACCCGUGAUCCGGGUUGCGGACAGUGUCUGGUGGGUAGUUUGACUGGGGCGGUCUCCUCCUAAAGAGUAACGGAGGAGCACGAAGGUUGGCUAAUCCUGGUCGGACAUCAGGAGGUUAGUGCAAUGGCAUAAGCCAGCUUGACUGCGAGCGUGACGGCGCGAGCAGGUGCGAAAGCAGGUCAUAGUGAUCCGGUGGUUCUGAAUGGAAGGGCCAUCGCUCAACGGAUAAAAGGUACUCCGGGGAUAACAGGCUGAUACCGCCCAAGAGUUCAUAUCGACGGCGGUGUUUGGCACCUCGAUGUCGGCUCAUCACAUCCUGGGGCUGAAGUAGGUCCCAAGGGUAUGGCUGUUCGCCAUUUAAAGUGGUACGCGAGCUGGGUUUAGAACGUCGUGAGACAGUUCGGUCCCUAUCUGCCGUGGGCGCUGGAGAACUGAGGGGGGCUGCUCCUAGUACGAGAGGACCGGAGUGGACGCAUCACUGGUGUUCGGGUUGUCAUGCCAAUGGCACUGCCCGGUAGCUAAAUGCGGAAGAGAUAAGUGCUGAAAGCAUCUAAGCACGAAACUUGCCCCGAGAUGAGUUCU